rnacentral:rRNA from 1 species
AUUGAACGCUGGCGGCAUGCCUUACACAUGCAAGUCGAACGGCAGCACGGGGGCAACCCUGGUGGCGAGUGGCGAACGGGUGAGUAAUGCAUCGGAACGUGCCCAGUAGUGGGGGAUAACCAGUCGAAAGACUGGCUAAUACCGCAUACGACCUACGGGUGAAAGCGGGGGACCGUAAGGCCUCGCGCUAUUGGAGCGGCCGAUAUCUGAUUAGCUAGGUGGUGGGGUAAAAGCCUACCAAGGCAACGAUCAGUAGCCGGUCUGAGAGGACGACCAGCCACACUGGGACUGAGACACGGCCCAGACUCCUACGGGCGGCAGCAGUGGGGAAUUUUGGACAAUGGGGGCAACCCUGAUCCAGCGAUGCCGCGUGAGUGAAGAAGGCCUUCGGGUUGUAAAGCUCUUUUGUCAGGGAAGAAACGGUAGUAGCUAAUAUCUAUUACUAAUGACGGUACCUGAAGAAUAAGCACCGGCUAACUACGUGCCAGCCGCCGCCGUAACAC